rnacentral:misc_RNA from 1 species
UCCGAGUUGACCCCGGCAGUCUCCUGCGAGUCCCCGCCAUUACGCGCUGGCAACACAGGACAAGGGUUGCGCUCGUUGCGGGACUUAACCCAACAUCUCACGACACGAGCUGACGACAGCCAUGCACCACCUGUCACGGGCCCAAAAGGACACCGUAUCUCUACGGCUUUUCCCGUGAUGUCAAGCCCAGGUAAGGUUCUUCGGGUUGCAUCGAAUUAAGCAACAUGCUCCGCCGCCUGUGUGGGCCCCCGUCAAUUCCUUUGAGUUUUAGCCUUGCGGCCGUACUCCCCAGGCGGGGCACUUAAUGCGUUAGCUGCGGCACGGAGUCCGUUGAUAGAACCCCACACCUAGUGCCCAACGUUUACGGCAUGGACUAC